UACGGAGGAGGCAAGCGUUAUCCGGAAUUAUUGGGCGUAAAGCGUCCGUAGGUGGCUAGUCAAGUCUGCGGUCAAAGACUGGGGCUUAACCCUGGAAAGGCCGUGGAAACUGACGAGCUAGAGUGCAGUAGGGGUAGAGGGAAUUCCCGGUGUAGCGGUGAAAUGCGUAGAGCUCGGGAAGAACAUCGGUGGCGAAAGCGCUCUACUGGACUGCAACUGACGAUCAGGCACGAAAGCGUGGGGAGCAAACAGG
rnacentral:rRNA from 1 species